AAAUGGAUUGCGGGUUGUGCUUGCACGGCUGCGAUGUACCGAUGGAAAGUCUGCCCUAUCACCUGUCGACGGUAGGAUAGAGGCCUACCGUGGGGAUAACGGGUAACGGGGGAUUAGAGUUAUACCGGAGAGGGCGCCUGAGAGAUGGCGACCACUUCCAAGGAAGGCAGCAGGCGCGCAAAUUACCCAAUGGCGACAUGCCGAGGUAGUGUAGAACAAUAACGAUGGGCGGGUCUUAGAACUUGCCCAAUUGGAAUGAGUUUAAAUUACAACCCUAUUCGAGGAGCAACUGGAGGGCAAGUCUGGUGCCAGCAGCCGCGGUAAUUCCAGCUCCAGUAGUGUAUAUCAAAGUUGUUGCGGUUAAAAAGCUCGUAGUUGGAUUUCCCGGGGCUUAAGGGGUGGGAUGUGGUCAUUUGAACUGCGGCCGUUCCUUUUCCGGUGGCGGUCUGCGGAAUUUUUCCGUGGGGCGCAUGUACUUUGAACAAAUUAGAGUGCUCAAGACAGGCGAUUUUUUAUUGCUGUGAAUAGAUUAGCAUGGAAUACGGGUAUAAACUCUCUUCUCGGGAUUGUUGUUUUGACGAGGAGGGGGAAUGAUGGAUAGGGACAGGUGUGGGCAUUGAGAUUGUUACGUCAGAGGUGAAAUUCUUAGAUCGUAGCAGGAUUAGCAGACGCGAAAGCAUUUGACAAGGAUGUUUUCAUUGAUCAAGAACGAAAGUUGGGGGAUCGAAGACGAUUAGAUACCGUCGUAGUCUCAACCAUAAACGAUGCCAGCUAGGGAUUGGAGGGGGCACGAGACUUUCUCACUACUUUUUCAGCACCUUUACGAGAAAUCCAAAGCGUUUGGGUUCCGGGGGAAGUAUGGUCGCAAGGCUGAAACUUUAAGGAAUUGACGGAAGGGCACCACCAGGAGUGGAGCCUGCGGCUUAAUUUGACCCAACACGGGAAAACUUACCAGGCCCAGACAUAAAAAGGAUUGACAGAUUGAAAGCUCUUUCUUGAUCUUAUGGAUGGUGGUGCAUGGCCGUUCUUAGUUCGUGGAGUGAUUUGUCUGCUUGAUUGCGAUAACGGACGAGACCUUGUGUGGAUGUUGCUGGGCCCAAGAGAUUUUGUUGUUGGGACCCGGGACCUUCUGCGACUGCUGUAUGUGUUUUAACCAGAGGAAGUUCUAGGCUAAAACAGGUCUGUGAUGCCCUUAGAUGUUCUGGGCCGCACGCGCGCUACAAUGGGAGGGAUAGCGAGCUUGUUGCCGGGGCCUUGGCGCGAAAGUGUUGGGGUCUUGGUGCCUGGUCCGAGAGGGCUGGGGAAACUGGCAAGACCUUCUGUGACUGGGAUUGGUCUUUGUAAUUAUGGGCCAUGAACGAGGAAUUCCUUGUAAACGCACGUCAUCAACGUGCAUUGAAUACGUCCCUGCCCUUUGUACACACCGCCCGUCGCUUCUACCGAUUGGAUGAAUAGGUGAGUGUUUUGGAGGUCUGGCCGUUGUUGGGCAACUGACGGGGUUGGGCUGAGGAUGUGCAAAUCUGUUUAUCUAGAGGAAGAAGAAGUCGUAACAAGGUA
rnacentral:rRNA from 1 species